GCUCUGGUGGUGCAGUAGUUAAGCACUCAGCUGCUAACUGAAAGGUUGAUGGUUCAAACCCGCCCCGUGGCU
rnacentral:tRNA from 1 species